UAUUCUCCUUCACGCAGUCACGCAAGUCAAAACACUCUCUCUCUCUCUCUCUAGUCCGUCAUCUCUGCAGCACUUCACCGGCCAGUCUCUGCCAAUGACUUCGACUCCGCCGAUGAAAUCUCAUCGUAUAUCGCAAUCUGCUGCUGAUUUCGAGAUAAUCGCCUCCACCUCCGUCUCUGGCGAUGAAUCCGUCGUAAUCGCAGAUGAAUAGGUCAUUGCACAUCGCAAUCCGCUUCUGAUUAUGUCAAAAUUGUCUCCGUCGCAGAUGAAUAGGUCAUAUUCAUUCACCGUGCUUAUAGUUCAUCAUUUUCGGUAAUAUCUCCUUCAUCUUCCAAUUAAAAUUGGCUGAUAUUUUAGCUGAUAUAAUCGAAAAUUGGUUAAAUUGAUUGAUUAAGCGUGAAUUAGGUUGUGUUUAGAUGGAUGAAUUUGUUAAAAAGCUGAGCUUUUAAGCUUGAAGGUGUGGUUGCACGCCAACUGUUUGUGAAAAUGUCUCUAUGAACUUUACAUCGAAUUGUGCUUGUAUUCGUUCUUCUAUCAUUCAUUACUUGAUUGGAUGAGUUUGCUAAUUUGCGAUACAAUAGCUCGUCUUCAAGUCUGAUUGUGUUGGCUCAGUAAGUGUUUACAUAAUUGUCGUAUAGAAAUGUGGGAUGUGAAUUAGCUGACGUUCAUUAAGAUCGACCAGAUUUUGUAGAAAUGGACGAUGAAUCAAAUGACUUCUUUGAUGUUCCCAAACUUUUGGUGUCGUUCAAUUUGAAAUUGUAAAUUGUGACUUAAUAGUUAAUCUAACAGAAGAUCGAAGGGACAGUUGGUCAGUUCCAGAACCUUCUUUGUUUCAACUUCGGGGAGAAACCUUUUAUAAGACCGUAAGAUCAGGGCUAGGAGCACCUUGAUGCAAAACCAUUGUCGUUGACUUGCUGAGAUAAGAUAAAGUAAAGAUGAAGUUGCUUCUGGACAAGGGAGCAUUGUGUAGGUCAUUAUGAUUAGCAACACCAGAAUCUGAACAUGAAACUCAUAGGGAAUGAAUAUCACAUGGCCACUUCAAGAUGUAAUAAUUAUCUUGUUGAAAUGAAUCUGAUGCAGGCCCCCCUUUAAAUGGCCCCAAACAUAGAGAAGAUGGGUGGCUCGAGAUCGAGGGCGAGUUUCUCAGUCGGAAGGGGGGUAGAAGGGGAUCUCGAGAUGACCAUGAUGGAGGUGAAAGGAGGAACCUGGAAGGGUGGUAUGAUCGUUCAAGGGAUCGAGAUUAGGCCAAAGGCAAGUUAGAUAAUAAAUCUAUUAUUGACAAAGUGUGAUGCUUCUAGUUUUGUACUUAACAGUUUUGACAAUAAAUCUAUUAUUGACGAUAAA